UAACACGACAGCGACGAGGGAAGCUUCUUCCUUAGCGACUAACCAAUAGCCAAAUCCUCCUUUAAAAUCUGAUGCUCGGCCGGGUCCAUUUCGCUGGCUAGCUUUCCUUCAGCUCCCGUCCCGACCCCCCUGGCUACAGCCCGUCCCGUCGAGCCACAGCGACGAACAAAUGGCCCGCGCCGGCGCAGCCGUCGUCCUCGCCCUCGCCGUCUGCUGCCUCCUGGUGGCCCCCGCCCCGGCGCGCCGCCCCGCCGACCGCGAGGCGGCCGCCGAGCCGCUGCGGCCCAAGCCGGCGGUGGCCGCGGACUGCGCCGAUGCGGCCGAAGCUGAACAGGGGUCCGCGCUCGCCGUGCCCGAGCAGGAGGACCCCGCCCGCGACGAGGAGCCCCGGCGGCGGUCCUCCUCCCUGCUCUGCCUCGUCUUUCGGUGCGGCGGCGAGCCGGCGGGCCUGAACGGCGCGUUGGUGGCCCGGGGCAGCUCCGAGGAGCCGCAGGUGCUGGACGAUGGGACCUGGCGGGCGGUGGAGGGGAAGGCGGAGGCGGAGGACGAGGACGAGCGGCCGUACGAGACGGACUGGGACUCUGACUGCGACUCCGACGACGAGGGCGAAGAAGACGGCGUCUUGGGGUGGCUCUGGAGGCUGGCUGAUCGCUUCUGGUUUCUCAUCGAUCCCAGCCAGCCAUGAGCCAUGGCCGCCGAUAGACGUGCUCCGGCAGCUUGAUCCUUGUCUGGCGCGUGUACUGUAUAACCUAUUACGAGCAGAUCAUAGCAGCAAACACCACUCUUUGUACAAAAGGUUAUAUUGAUGGAAUAAAUACUACACCUGUGUUUUUGUAAUUGUAUGGAUGGAUCAAACAAAGUUUCAAACCGUUGCUGUCACAUGAUUAAAUUCAACAGAAAGAGGUUUAACCGUGUAAGAACGAACCUGGUAGAAAUUGUUAGCACGAAAAGAUUUGUAGCUUAUUCAAGCCUACUAACGUACAGGGUCAUACAACAUGC
rnacentral:lncRNA from 1 species